rnacentral:tRNA from 1 species
CCUUAAGUGGCUGAUAAAAGCAAUGGUCUCUUAAACCAAUUCAUAGUAUAUCUAACUUUACUCUUGAGGA